rnacentral:rRNA from 1 species
CAAAACGACUCUCGGCAACGGAUAUCU